rnacentral:lncRNA from 1 species
GAUCUCCAGGUGGACAUGCAGAGUGGUGAAUAUGUUACUAGAAUAUAUAAAAAGCCAACCUAUACUUCAGUGUUAAUACCUGCCUGACAUUAUAACCCUAUACAAUAUAAACUUGCAGCUUUUUGGUCCUUGUUUACUAGAGUCCACAUGCAUAUCAUAAAAUGGCAGGAUAAGAUACAAGAACUAGGGUUCAUUUAUAACAUAGGACGGAAAUAUGGCUUUACUACUAAACAGAUGCAGGUGAUAUGGUUUAGGGUUUCUGGGGACUUGGCCGGUGUGACGGUGGGUUGUGCAUACCCUAGACAUAAUGCUGAUACACCUCCCUUUGCUGAAAUCACGUAUUGUAUCGCCACUGAUAGAGUUCUGACUGGGAAUAUGAAUGAGGGGAGGUAUCGGAUGGCUCGUGGGAGAGGGCCUGCUGUGUUU